rnacentral:rRNA from 1 species
ACGAACGCUGGCGGCGUGNUAACACAUGCAAGUCGAGCGGGGAUCACUUAACGAUUUAUCUGGAGGUGGAUCCUAGCGGCGGACGGGUGAGUAACGCGUAGGCAACCUGCCUUGUACAGGGGGACAACACCGGGAAACCGGUGCUAAUACCGCAUAACAUACAGCCAUCGCAUGGUGGUUGUAUCAAAGGGGAAAUCCAGUACAGGAUGGGCCUGCGUCCGAUUAGCUAGUUGGUAAGGUAAUGGCUUACCAAGGCGACGAUCGGUAGCCGAACUGAGAGGUUGAUCGGCCACAUUGGGACUGAGACACGGCCCAGACUCCUACGGGAGGCAGCAGUGGGGAAUAUUGCGCAAUGGGGGGAACCCUGACGCAGCAACGCCGCGUGAAGGAUGAAGGCCUUCGGGUUGUAAACUUCUUUGAUUGGGGAAGAAGAAAGUGACGGUACCCAAAAAACAAGCCACGGCUAACUACGUGCCAGCAGCCGCGGUAAUACGUAGGUGGCGAGCGUUGUCCGGAAUUACUGGGUGUAAAGGGCGUGUAGGCGGGGCGGCAAGUCAGAUGUGAAAUUUCGGGGCUCAACCCCGAAGGUGCAUCUGAAACUGCUGUUCUUGAGUGUCGGAGAGGAAAGUGGAAUUCCCAGUGUAGCGGUGAAUUGCGUAGAGAUUGGGAGGAACACCAGUGGCGAAGGCGGCUUUCUGGACGACAACUGACGCUGAAGCGCGAAAGCGUGGGAAGCGAACAGGAUUAGAUACCCUG